GAUGAAGAACGUAGCGAAAUGCGAUACGUAAUGUGAAUUGCAAAUUCAGUGAAUCAUCGAGUCUUUGAACGCACAUUGCGCCCCCUGGUAUUCCGGGGGGCAUGCCUGUCCGAGCGUCAUUGCUGCCCUCAAGCACGGCUUGUGUGGUGGGCCCCGUCCUCCGAUCCCGGGGGACGGGCCCGAAAGGCAGCGGCGGCACCGCGUCCGGUCCUCGAGCGUAUGGGGCUUUGUCACCCGCUCUGUAGGCCCGGCCGGCGCUUGCCGAUCAACCCAAAUUUUUAUCCAGGUUGACCUCGGAUCAGGUAGGGAUACCCGCUGAACUUAAGCAUAUCAAUAAGCGGAGGA
rnacentral:misc_RNA from 1 species